GGGGAAUCUUGCACAAUGGGGGCAACCCUGAUGCAGCGACGCCGCGUGAGCGAUGAAGCCCUUCGGGGCGUAAAGCUCUUUCGACCGGAACGAUAAUGACGGUACCGGGAGAAGAAGCUGCGGCUAACUACGUGCCAGCAGCCGCGGUAAUACGUAGGCAGCAAGCGUUGUUCGGAGUUACUGGGCGUAAAGAGUGCGUAGGCGGUUUUCUAAGUUCGGUGUGAAACCUCCCGGCUUAACUGGGAGGGUGCGCCGAAGACUGGGAAGCUGGAGUGUGGGAAAGGCAGGCGGAAUUCCUGGUGUAGCGGUGAAAUGCGUAGAUGUCAGGAGGAACACCGGCGGUGUAGACGGCUUGCUAGACCAUAACUGACGCUGAGGCACGAAAGCGUGGGUAGCAAACA
rnacentral:rRNA from 1 species